rnacentral:rRNA from 1 species
UAGGGAAUCUUCCGCAAUGGACGCAAGUCUGACGGAGCAAAGCCGCGUGAGUGAAGAAGGAUCUCGGUUCGUAAAACUCUGUUGUUAGAGAAGAACAGCGCAUAGAGUAACUGUUAUGCGUGUGACGGUAUCUAACCAGAAAGCCACGGCCAACUACGUGCCAGCAGCCGCGGUAAUAAGUAGGUGGCAAGCGUUGUACGGAUUUAUUGGGCGUAAAGCGAGCGCAGGCGGUCAAUUAAGUCUGUUGUAAAAGCCCCGGGCUCAACCGGGGAGGUUCAUUGGAAACUGGUUGCCUUGAGUGCAGAAGAGGAGGAUGGAAUUCCAUGUGUAGCGGUGAAAUGCGUGGAUUUAUGAAGGAACACCAGUGGCGAAGGCGACUCUCUGGUCUGUAACUGACGCUAAGGGUCGAAAGCGUGGGUAGCAAACAGG